GCUGGGUUAGCUUGGAUGGUAGAGCGUGAGACUCUUAAUCUCAGGGCCCUGGGUUCGAGAACCAUGUCAGGCA